rnacentral:rRNA from 1 species
GAWAAGGUAUCUACACCUGAAUAAAAUAGGGUGUAAGAAGCGAACGCAGGGAACUGAAACAUCUAAGUACCUGCAGGAAAGGACAUCAACCGAGACUCCGCAAGUAGUGGCGAGCGAACGCGGACCAGGCCAGUGGCAAUGAGUGUUAAAGUGGAAGAACCUGGAAAGGUUUGCCGUAGAGGGUGAUAGCCCCGUACGCGUAGAUACACUUAUUGUCCUAGAGUAGGGCGGGACACGUGAAAUCCUGUCUGAACAUGGGGCGACCACGCUCCAAGCCUAAGUACUCGUGCAUGACCGAUAGCGAACCAGUACCGUGAGGGAAAGGUGAAAAGCACCCCGACAAGGGGAGUGAAAUAGAACCUGAAACUGGAUGCCUACAAACAGUCGGAGCCCGCAAGGGUGACGGCGUACCUUUUGUAUAAUGGGUCAACGACUUAGUGUAACAAGCAAGCUUAAGCCGGUAGGUGUAGGCGAAGCGAAAGCGAGUCUGAAUAGGGCGAUUUAGUUUGUUGCAUUAGACCCGAAACCGAGUGAUCUAGCCAUGAGCAGGUUGAAGGUUGGGUAACACCAACUGGAGGACCGAACCCGCAUCUGUUGCAAUAGAUUGGGAUGACUUGUGGCUAGGGGUGAAAGGCCAAUCAAACUCGGAAAUAGCUGGUUCUCCGCGAAAUCUAUUUAGGUAGAGCGUCGAGCGAAUACUCCCGGGGGUAGAGCACUGGAUGGGCUAUGGGGACUCACCGUCUUACUGAUCCUAACCAAACUCCGAAUACCGGGAAGUACUACUCGGCAGACACACGGCGGGUGCUAACGUCCGUCGUGAAAAGGGCAACAACCCUAACCUCCAGCUAAGGUCCCCAAGUCAUGGCUAAGUGGGAAAGGAUGUGAGGAUCCCAAAACAACCAGGAUGUUGGCUUAGAAGCAGCCAUCAUUUAAAGAAAGCGUAACAGCUCACUGGUCUAGUCAAGGGUCUUUGCGCCGAAAAUGUAACGGGGCUAAAGCCAUGCACCGAAGCUGAGGAUUUGCGAGCAAUCGCAAGUGGUAGCGGAGCGUUCCGUAAGCCUGUGAAGGGGUACCUGUGAGGGGCCCUGGAGGUAUCGGAAGUGCGAAUGUUGACAUGAGUAACGAUAAAGAGGGUGAGAGACCCUCUCGCCGAAAGACCAAGGGUUCCUGCUUAAAGUUAAUCUGAGCAGGGUUAGCCGGCCCCUAAGACGAGGCGGACACGCGUAGUCGAUGGGAACCACGUUAAUAUUCGUGGGCCUGGUGGUAGUGACGGAUUGCUUAACUUGUUCACACUUAUUGGAUUGUGUGGGCGGGGACGCGGUUCCAGGAAAUAGCUCCACCGUAUAGACCGUACCCGAAACCGACACAGGUGGUCAGGUAGAGUAUACCAAGGCGUUUGAGAGAAUUAUGUUGAAGGAACUCGGCAAAUUGCACGCGUAACUUCGGAAGAAGCGUGACCCUUAUUUACGCAAGUAUGUGAGGGUGGCACAGACCAGGGGGUAGCGACUGUUUACCAAAAACACAGGGCUCUGCGAAGUCGCAAGACGACGUAUAGGGUCUGACGCCUGCCCGGUGCUGGAAGGUUAAGAGGAGGGGUGCAAGCUCUGAAUCGAAGCCCCAGUAAACGGCGGCCGUAACUAUAACGGUCCUAAGGUAGCGAAAUUCCUUGUCGGGUAAGUUCCGACCUGCACGAAUGGCGUAACGAUUCCCCGCUGUCUCCAACAUAGACUCAGUGAAAUUGAAUUCCCCGUGAAGAUGCGGGGUUCCUGCGGUCAGACGGAAAGACCCCGUGCACCUUUACUAUAGCUUUACACUGGCAUUCGUGUCGGCAUGUGUAGGAUAGGUGGUAGGCUUUGAAGCAGGGACGCCAGUUCUUGUGGAGCCAUCCUUGAAAUACCACCCUUAUCGUCAUGGAUGUCUAACCGCGGUCCGUUAUCCGGAUCCGGGACAGUGUAUGGUGGGUAGUUUGACUGGGGCGGUCGCCUCCGAAAGAGUAACGGAGGCGCGCGAUGGUGGGCUCAGACCGGUCGGAAAUCGGUCGUCGAGUGCAAUGGCAUAAGCCCGCCUGACUGCGAGACUGACAAGUCGAGCAGAGACGAAAGUCGGUCAUAGUGAUCCGGUGGUCCCGCGUGGAAGGGCCAUCGCUCAACGGAUAAAAGGUACGCCGGGGAUAACAGGCUGAUGACCCCCAAGAGUCCAUAUCGACGGGGUUGUUUGGCACCUCGAUGUCGGCUCAUCGCAUCCCUGGGGCUGGAGC